UGCCGCGUGCAGGAAGACUGCCCUAUGGGUUGUAAACUGCUUUUUUACGGGAAGAAACACCCCCACGUGUGGGGGCUUGACGGUACCGUACGAAUAAGGACCGGCUAACUCCGUGCCAGCAGCCGCGGUAAUACGGAGGGUCCGAGCGUUAUCCGGAAUCAUUGGGUUUAAAGGGUCCGUAGGCGGGCGUCUAAGUCAGUGGUGAAAUCCCGCAGCUCAACUGUGGAAUUGCCAUUGAUACUGGUCGCCUUGAAUUAGUGUGAAGUGGCUAGAAUAUGUAGUGUAGCGGUGAAAUGCUUAGAUAUUACAUAGAAUACCGAUUGCGAAGGCAGGUCACUAACACUAUAUUGACGCUGAUGGACGAAAGCGUGGGGAGCGAACAGGAUUAGAUACCCUGGUAGUCCACGCCGUAAACGAUGGAUACUAGCUGUCCGGCCUGCAUUGGUAGGCUGGGUGGCCAAGCGAAAGUGAUAAGUAUCCCACCU
rnacentral:rRNA from 1 species